UCUACAGGCUUAACACAUGCAAGUCGAGGGGCAGCAUGGUCUUAGCUUGCUAAGGCCGAUGGCGACCGGCGCACGGGUGAGUAACACGUAUCCAACCUGCCGUCUACUCUUGGACAGCCUUCUGAAAGGAAGAUUAAUACAAGAUGGCAUCAUGAGUCCGCAUGUUCACAUGAUUAAAGGUAUUCCGGUAGACGAUGGGGAUGCGUUCCAUUAGAUAGUAGGCGGGGUAACGGCCCACCUAGUCUUCGAUGGAUAGGGGUUCUGAGAGGAAGGUCCCCCACAUUGGAACUGAGACACGGUCCAAACUCCUACGGGAGGCAGCAGUGAGGAAUAUUGGUCAAUGGGCGAGAGCCUGAACCAGCCAAGUAGCGUGAAGGAUGACUGCCCUAUGGGUUGUAAACUUCUUUUAUAAAGGAAUAAAGUCGGGUAUGGAUACCCGUUUGCAUGUACUUUAUGAAUAAGGAUCGGCUAACUCCGUGCCAGCAGCCGCGGUAAUACGGAGGAUCCGAGCGUUAUCCGGAUUUAUUGGGUUUAAAGGGAGCGUAGAUGGAUGUUUAAGUCAGUUGUGAAAGUUUGCGGCUCAACCGUAAAAUUGCAGUUGAUACUGGAUAUCUUGAGUGCAGUUGAGGCAGGCGGAAUUCGUGGUGUAGCGGUGAAAUGCUUAGAUAUCACGAAGAACUCCGAUUGCGAAGGCAGCCUGCUAAGCUGCAACUGACAUUGAGGCUCGAAAGUGUGGGUAUCAAACAGGAUUAGAUACCCUGGUAGUCCACACGGUAAACGAUGAAUACUCGCUGUUUGCGAUAUACUGCAAGCGGCCAAGCGAAAGCGUUAAGUAUUCCACCUGGGGAGUACGCCGGCAACGGUGAAACUCAAAGGAAUUGACGGGGGCCCGCACAAGCGGAGGAACAUGUGGUUUAAUUCGAUGAUACGCGAGGAACCUUACCCGGGCUUAAAUUGCAGAUGAAUUACGGUGAAAGCCGUAAGCCGCAAGGCAUCUGUGAAGGUGCUGCAUGGUUGUCGUCAGCUCGUGCCGUGAGGUGUCGGCUUAAGUGCCAUAACGAGCGCAACCCUUGUUGUCAGUUACUAACAGGUUCCGCUGAGGACUCUGACAAGACUGCCAUCGUAAGAUGUGAGGAAGGUGGGGAUGACGUCAAAUCAGCACGGCCCUUACGUCCGGGGCUACACACGUGUUACAAUGGGGGGUACAGAGGGCCGCUACCACGCGAGUGGAUGCCAAUCCCCAAAACCUCUCUCAGUUCGGACUGGAGUCUGCAACCCGACUCCACGAAGCUGGAUUCGCUAGUAAUCGCGCAUCAGCCACGGCGCGGUGAAUACGUUCCCGGGCCUUGUACACACCGCCCGUCAAGCCAUGGGAGCCGGGGGUACCUGAAGUGCGUAACCGCGAGGAGCGCCCUAGGGUAAAACUGGUGACUGGG
rnacentral:rRNA from 1 species